rnacentral:rRNA from 1 species
AGAGUUUGAUCCUGGCUCAGGAUGAAUGCUGGCGGCGUGCUAACACAUGCAAGUCGAGCGGCAGCGCGUCUAGUUUACUAGAUGGCGGCGAGCGGCGGACGGCUGAGUAACGCGUAGGAACGUGCCCCAAAGUGAGGAAUAACUGCCCGAAAGGGUGGCUAAUGCCGCAUAUGAUCUUCGGAUUAAAGUCUUCGGACGCUUUGGGAGCGGCCUGCGUCGGAUUAGGUUGUUGGUGAGGUAAUGGCUCACCAAGCCGACGAUCCGUAGCUGGUCUGAGAGGAUGAUCAGCCAGACUGGGACUGAGACACGGCCCAGACUCCUACGGGAGGCAGCAGUGAGGAAUCUUCCACAAUGGGCGAAAGCCUGAUGGAGCAACGCCGCGUGAAGGAUGAAGGCCCUCGGGUUGUAAACUUCUUUUAUAAGUGAAGAAUAUGACGGUAACUUAUGAAUAAGCACCGGCUAACUACGUGCCAGCAGCCGCGGUCAUACGUAGGGUGCAAGCAUUAUCCGGAGUGACUGGGCGUAAAGAGUUGCGUAGGUGGUUUGUUAAGUAGGUAGUGAAAUCUGGCGGCUCAACCGUACAGGCUAUUACCUAAACUGGCAAACUCGAGAAUGGUAGAGGUAACUGGAAUUUCUUGUGUAGGAGUGAAAUCCGUAGAUAUAAGAAGGAACACCAAUGGCGUAGGCAGGUUACUGGACCAUUUCUGACACUGAGGCACGAAAGCGUGGGGAGCGAACGGGAUUAGAUACCCCGGUAGUCCACGCCGUAAACGAUGGAUACUAGCUGUUGGAGGUAUCGACCCCUCCAGUAGCGAAGCUAACGCGUUAAGUAUCCCGCCUGUGGAGUACGGUCGCAAGACUAAAACUCAAAGGAAUUGACGG